rnacentral:rRNA from 1 species
CUGGCUCUGAACGAACGCUGGCGGCAGGCUUAACACAUGCAAGUCGAGCGCCCCUUCGGGGGAGCGGCAGACGGGUGAGUAAUGCAUGGGAAUCUACCCAGCUCUACGGAAUAACUCAGGGAAACUUGAACUAAUACCGUAUGCGCCCUUCGGGGGAAAGAUUUAUCGGAGUUGGAUGAGCCCAUGUCUGAUUAGCUAGUUGGUGGGGUAAAGGCCUACCAAGGCGACGAUCAGUAGCUGGUCUGAGAGGAUGAUCAGCCACACUGGGACUGAGACACGGCCCAGACUCCUACGGGAGGCAGCAGUGGGGAAUAUUGGACAAUGGGGGCAACCCUGAUCCAGCCAUGCCGCGUGAGUGAUGAAGGCCCUAGGGUUGUAAAGCUCUUUCACCGGUGAAGAUAAUGACGGUAACCGGAGAAGAAGCCCCGGCUAACUUCGUGCCAGCAGCCGCGGUAAUACGAAGGGGGCGAGCGUUGUUCGGAAUUACUGGGCGUAAAGCGCGCGUAGGCGGAUCGGUCAGUUAGGGGUGAAAUCCCGGGGCUCAACCCCGGAACUGCCUCUAAUACUGCCGAUCUAGAGUUCGAGAGAGGUGAGUGGAAUUCCGAGUGUAGAGGUGAAAUUCGUAGAUAUUCGGAGGAACACCAGUGGCGAAGGCGGCUCACUGGCUCGAUACUGACG